ACUAAACCACUGUUGCAGGUAAAAUUUCUAUAUGUUGGAAUAUGGGUUAUUUCCCUUCUGAUAUUUAAAUUGAGUUACUUAACAUAGCCAGGGCAGUGUAUAGACAGAAGUUAUUCCCACAGCUUUUCUGUUUUGUUGCUGAAUUCUCACUCCACUUAAACAGUUUCCUGUCCUAUUCAGCCCAGAAGAAGGACUUGUACAAGUUUCAUUUUGCUUUUUUCUCAAGAAGAAUAGUAAGCUUAUGCUGCUGCUGUAUGCAUGCUGAACUCUGCUAUCAUCUCUGCAGCUGUGUGCUUCAUGCUGUCCUGUAAGUAACUGCUAACUUCCUGCUGUUGUGCUUCAUGUUGGACUGUGAGUAACUGCUAACUUCCUGCUGCUGUGCUUCAUGUUGGACUUUGCUAACAUCUUUGGUGCUGUGUACCUCAUGCAUGACUACUCUAAGAUCUCUGCUGCUGUGUGCUUCAUGUUGGACUAGCUGUGCAGCGAUCAGGCGGCGUGUUUGACCAUGACUCCUCAGCGCUGCCUCCCCUGCUCAGCCACAGUUCAAGACCAGAGGCUCGGUGCGUGGUUGAAUCCCCCUCACAGAUGGCUCUGUGUCGAGCGGCGACUGCUGCCCCAGACUCCCACAGAUGGAGGACGCAGGAGGGAAAAUGGCAGCGGUGUUUGAGCAAAGUGCCUUCACUCGCUUCCCCGUUCUGGACUUGAAAUGUCACGUGUGAGACGGUCAGAAAGACCGAUUCUGCUUGGACCAUGUGUGUCAUGUUGGGUGCACACAUGUUGUGUUUCUGUCUUCACUCGUUGCCAUCCCAACGCUCAGCGCUGUAUUGGAGGAGGACAGGAAGUGAAAAUAAUGUCAUCAUAUACAUGUGCUGUUUGGUUUGCAGAUUGUUUCAACUGGAAACAAACCUGUUUUUUAGCAGUCGUGCCAGGAGUGGUUUCAUAUUUUGUCAAAUUGAAAAGCAAAAUGAAAGAGUGUCGGAGUGAUUGAUGCUUUACCGUCUCUAAAGUAAUCUUUUACAUUCAUGAAUCAACAGUGUUCAGUGUCGAGUUAUUGAGUCAUCAGGCACUUCACUUUGAAUCAUCCAUCCUGGCAUACAUCUGUUGUGCAAGGGGAUUUCCUGUAAGAUAUGCAAAAGGUGAAUUUUCAGUUUUAUCGCUUCACUACAUUAAAUCCCAUUUAACCUGGACCGAUGUUUAACCCCUGAAAGGACAAACACUGGGGAAACUAGCUUGCAGAAGUGGGGAGGUUCUUUACUGUCACUCUCAUCUUACUACAGCAGAAAUAGACCUCAACACACACCUUGUGUUGUCCCUUAUUAUGGCCAACAGUCAUGAUGAAAUCGCUACA